rnacentral:rRNA from 1 species
AUUGAACGCUGGCGGCAGGCCUAACACAUGCAAGUCGAGCGGUAGCACAGGAGAGCUUGCUCUCUAGGUGACGAGCGGCGGACGGGUGAGUAAUGUCUGGGAAACUGCCUGAUGGAGGGGGAUAACUACUGGAAACGGUAGCUAAUACCGCAUAACGUCGCAAGACCAAAGAGGGGGGACCUUCGGGCCUCUUGCCAUCA